AGAGUUUGAUCAUGGCUCAGAUUGAACGCUGGCGGCAGGCCUAACACAUGCAAGUCGAACGGUAACAGGAAGAAGCUUGCUUCUUUGCUGACGAGUGGCGGACGGGUGAGUAAUAUCUGGGAAACUGCCUGAUGGAGGGGGAUAACUACUGGAAACGGUAGCUAAUACCGCAUAACGUCGCAAGACCAAAGAGGGGGACCUUCGGGCCUCUUGCCAUCGGAUGUGCCCAGAUGGGAUUAGCUAGUAGGUGGGGUAACGGCUCACCUAGGCGACGAUCCCUAGCUGGUCUGAGAGGAUGACCAGCCACACUGGAACUGAGACACGGUCCAGACUCCUACGGGAGGCAGCAGUGGGGAAUAUUGCACAAUGGGCGCAAGCCUGAUGCAGCCAUGCCGCGUGUAUGAAGAAGGCCUUCGGAUUGUAAAGUACUUUCAGCGGGGAGGAAGGGAGUAAAGUUAAUACCUUUGCUCAUUGACGUUACCCGCAGAAGAAGCACCGGCUAACUCCGUGCCAGCAGCCGCGGUAAUACGGGGGGUGCAAGCGUUAAUCGGAAUUACUGGGCGUAAAGCGCACGCAGGCGGUUUGUUAAGUCAGAUGUGAAAUCCCCGGGCUCAACCUGGGAACUGCAUCUGAUACUGGCAAGCUUGAGUCUCGUAGAGGGGGGUAGAAUUCCAGGUGUAGCGGUGAAAUGCGUAGAGAUCUGGAGGAAUACCGGUGGCGAAGGCGGCCCCCUGGACGAAGACUGACGCUCAGGUGCGAAAGCGUGGGGAGCAAACAGGAUUAGAUACCCUGGUAGUCCACGCCGUAAACGAUGUCGACUUGGAGGUUGUGC
rnacentral:rRNA from 1 species